AAUUUUCAUUAAUUUGGUAAAUUUAUGUAAAUUUUUACCAAAUAUUUUUCUCUGUUACUAAUGGGCAAAGUUCAUUAUAGAUAUAAUUGUAAGAAGCAAGAAUGUUCAGUUGAGUAAGAACUUCAAACACAUCACCAUUACCAAAAUACAAUUUUGUCAUGAAUCCAUUUGUGUCCUUUGUUUAAUAUGCACAUAGACCAAGGUGAGCGACACAGGCUCUUUAGAGCCUCUAGUUUGAUGUCAUGUUUAGCGUUAAUUAUAUACAUGCAUGUUAAGGAUGAGACCACUGCUUUAUUGAGUUUUACUGAGAUAAUGGGGAAGAAAUUUGGAUUGCCAUAGGAAAAUGAGGGUAUGAUAUAUUGGGG
rnacentral:lncRNA from 1 species